GAGGGUACAGCUCAGUGGUAGAGCGCAUGCUCAGCAUGCACGAGGUCCCGGUUCAAUCCCCGGUACCUCCA
rnacentral:tRNA from 1 species